AACGCGAAGAACCUUACCAGGUCUUGACAUCCCCAUGUAAGCACUAGAGAUAGUGCCCCUCUUCGGAGCAUGGGAGACAGGUGGUGCAUGGUUGUCGUCAGCUCGUGUCGUGAGAUGUUGGGUUAAGUCCCGCAACGAGCGCAACCCUUGAUCUUAGUUGCCAGCACUUCGGGUGGGCACUCUAAGAUGACUGCCGGUGACAAACCGGAGGAAGGUGGGGAUGACGUCAAAUCAUCAUGCCCCUUAUGACCUGGGCUACACACGUACUACAAUGGCCGGUACAACGGGAAGCGAAGCCGCGAGGCGGAGCGAAUCCUUAUAAGCCGGUCUCAGUUCGGAUUGCAGGCUGCAACUCGCCUGCAUGAAGUCGGAAUUGCUAGUAAUCGCGGAUCAGCAUGCCGCGGUGAAUACGUUCCCGGGCCUUGUA
rnacentral:rRNA from 1 species